rnacentral:rRNA from 1 species
GAUGAACGCUGGCGGCGUGCCUAAUACAUGCAAGUCGAGCGAACGGACGAGAAGCUUGCUUUUCUGAUGUUAGCGGCGGACGGUUGAGUAACACGUGGAUAACCUACCUAUAAGACUUGGAUAACUUCGGGAAACCGGAGCUAAUACCGGAUAAUAUUUUGAACCGCAUGGUUCAAAAGUGAAAGACGGUCUUGCUGUCACUUAUAGAUGGAUCCGCGCUGCAUUAGCUAGUUGGUAAGGUAACGGCUUACCAAGGCAACGAUGCAUAGCCGACCUGAGAGGGUGAUCGGCCACACUGGAACUGAGACACGGUCCAGACUCCUACGGGAGGCAGCAGUAGGGAAUCUUCCGCAAUGGGCGAAAGCCUGACGGAGCAACGCCGCGUGAGUGAUGAAGGUCUUCGGAUCGUAAAACUCUGUUAUUAGGGAAGAACAUAUGUGUAAGUAACUGUGCACAUCUUGACGGUACCUAAUCAGAAAGCCACGGCUAACUACGUG